GAUGAACGCUGACAGAAUGCUUAACACAUGCAAGUCAACUUGAACUUCGGUUUGGGUGGCGGACGGGUGAGUAACGCGUAAAGAACUUGCCUCACAGAUAGGGACAACAUUUGGAAACGAAUGCUAAUACCUGAUAUUAUGAUUUUAGGGCAUCCUAGGAUUAUGAAAGCUAUAUGCGCUGUGAGAGAGCUUUGCGUCCCAUUAGCUAGUUGGAGAGGUAACGGCUCACCAAGGCGAUGAUGGGUAGCCGGCCUGAGAGGGUGAUCGGCCACAAGGGGACUGAGACACGGCCCUUACUCCUACGGGAGGCAGCAGUGGGGAAUAUUGGACAAUGGACCAAGAGUCUGAUCCAGCAAUUCUGUGUGCACGAUGAAGUUUUUCGGAAUGUAAAGUGCUUUCAGUUGGGAAGAAAAAAAUGACGGUACCAACAGAAGAAGUGACGGCUAAAUACGUGCCAGCAGCCGCGGUAAUACGUAUGUCACAAGCGUUAUCCGGAUUUAUUGGGCGUAAAGCGCGUCUAGGUGGUUAUAUAAGUCUGACGUGAAAAUGCAGGGCUCAACUCUGUAUUGCGUUGGAAACUGUGUAACUAGAGUACUGGAGAGGUAAGCGGAACUACAAGUGUAGAGGUGAAAUUCGUAGAUAUUUGUAGGAAUGCCGAUGGGGAAGCCAGCUUACUGGACAGAUACUGACGCUGAAGCGCGAAAGCGUGGGUAGCAAACAGG
rnacentral:rRNA from 1 species